UAGGGAAUCUUCCGCAAUGGGCGAAAGCUUGACGGAGCAACGCCGCGUGAGUGAUGAAGGUCUUCGGAUCGUAAAACUCUGUUAUUAGGGAAGAACAAAUGUGUAAGUAACUAUGCACGUCUUGACGGUACCUAAUCAGAAAGCCACGGCUAACUACGUGCCAGCAGCCGCGGUAAUACGUAGGUGGCAAGCGUUAUCCGGAAUUAUUGGGCGUAAAGCGCGCGUAGGCGGUUUUUUAAGUCUGAUGUGAAAGCCCACGGCUCAACCGUGGAGGGUAAUUGGAAACUGGAAAACUUGAGUGCAGAAGAGGAAAAUGGAAUUCCAUGUGUAGCGGUGAAAUGCGCAGAGAUAUGGAGGAACACCAGUGGCGAAGGCGACUUUCUGGUCUGUAACUGACGCUGAUGUGCGAAAGCGUGGGGAUCAAACAGG
rnacentral:rRNA from 1 species